UCCCUGGUGGUCCAAUGGUUAAGACUCUGCACUUCUAAUGCAGGGGUUGCGGGUUUGAUCCCUGGUCCAGGAA
rnacentral:tRNA from 1 species